GCGUGUCGACGAAGAUCGUCCCGUGCCGUCGACCGGAGGCGGUGCCGUACUCCUCGUGACCAUUGACCAGCAGCGGUUGGGCCGGAGCCAUAAGGCAGCAGUGGAAGGUGAGUCGGUGUGAGCCCGUCUUGCAUUGACAGCUUAUAGCCCUGUCUGUACGGUGCUCCGGCGUGACCGAGGAAGCCGGGCAGCCCUUGCCCAUUGUGGUGCACGCCGAAUGGCGGGGCCUCCCGACAGGAGCAAACCGUGCGGUGUGGACUGCAUGCAGUGCUCACUGUUGCGGUGAACUCGUGCCGGAGAGUGCCACUGGUGUGCCAGUGCUGCUGGUGUUCAGAU
rnacentral:misc_RNA from 1 species